AUCAACCAGAAGGCAGUGCAGAUUUCAGAGUUCACCUCAAAGCUCUAAUGUCAGUUUCAUACAACAACAAACAUGGCGACAGUGGAUGAGACACAAGAU